AGAGUUUGAUCCUGGCUCAGAUUGAACGCUGGCGGCAGGCCUAACACAUGCAAGUCGAGCGGUAGAGAGGAGCUUGCUCCUCUUGAGAGCGGCGGACGGGUGAGUAAUGCCUAGGAAUCUGCCUGGUAGUGGGGGAUAACGUUCGGAAACGGACGCUAAUACCGCAUACGUCCUACGGGAGAAAGCAGGGGACCUUCGGGCCUUGCGCUAUCAGAUGAGCCUAGGUCGGAUUAGCUAGUUGGUGAGGUAAUGGCUCACCAAGGCGACGAUCCGUAACUGGUCUGAGAGGAUGAUCAGUCACACUGGAACUGAGACACGGUCCAGACUCCUACGGGAGGCAGCAGUGGGGAAUAUUGGACAAUGGGCGAAAGCCUGAUCCAGCCAUGCCGCGUGUGUGAAGAAGGUCUUCGGAUUGUAAAGCACCUUAAGUUGGGAGGAAGGGCAGUAAAUUAAUACUUUGCUGUUUUGACGUUACCGACAGAAUAAGCACCGGCUAACUCUGUGCCAGCAGCCGCGGUAAUACAGAGGGUGCAAGCGUUAAUCGGAAUUACUGGGCGUAAAGCGCGCGUAGGUGGUUUGUUAAGUUGGAUGUGAAAUCCCCGGGCUCAACCUGGGAACUGCAUUCAAAACUGACUGACUAGAGUAUGGUAGAGGGUGGUGGAAUUUCCUGUGUAGCGGUGAAAUGCGUAGAUAUAGGAAGGAACACCAGUGGCGAAGGCGACCACCUGGACUAAUACUGACACUGAGGUGCGAAAGCGUGGGAGCAAACAGGAUUAGAUACCCUGGUAGUCCACGCCGUAAACGAUGUCAACUAGCCGUUGGAAGCCUUGAGCUUUUAGUGGCGCAGCUAACGCAUUAAGUUGACCGCCUGGGGAGUACGGCCGCAAGGUUAAAACUCAAAUGAAUUGACGGGGGCCCGCACAAGCGGUGGAGCAUGUGGUUUAAUUCGAAGCAACGCGAAGAACCUUACCAGGCCUUGACAUCCAAUGAACUUUCUAGAGAUAGAUUGGUGCCUUCGGGAACAUUGAGACAGGUGCUGCAUGGCUGUCGUCAGCUCGUGUCGUGAGAUGUUGGGUUAAGUCCCGUAACGAGCGCAACCCUUGUCCUUAGUUACCAGCACGUCAUGGUGGGCACUCUAAGGAGACUGCCGGUGACAAACCGGAGGAAGGUGGGGAUGACGUCAAGUCAUCAUGGCCCUUACGGCCUGGGCUACACACGUGCUACAAUGGUCGGUACAGAGGGUUGCCAAGCCGCGAGGUGGAGCUAAUCCCACAAAACCGAUCGUAGUCCGGAUCGCAGUCUGCAACUCGACUGCGUGAAGUCGGAAUCGCUAGUAAUCAAGAAUCAGAAUGUCGCGGUGAAUACGUUCCCGGGCCUCCUAAAACGCCGCCCGUCAAG
rnacentral:rRNA from 1 species